GAGAUUAUUAAAGAUGCAUAUGCAGAAGCCGCUAGCGUUGCUGAACAGGCAGUCUCAUAUAUUAGGACCUUAUAUGCAUUUACAAAUGAAACAUUGGCCAAGUAUUCUUAUGCAACCUCAUUGCAAGCAACUCUGAGAUAUGGUAUUUUGAUUAGUCUUGUGCAAGGACUUGGACUUGGGUUUACAUAUGGGCUUGCAAUAU
rnacentral:misc_RNA from 1 species